AUAACAGGCUGAUACCGCCCAAGAGUUCAUAUCGACGGCGGUGUUUGGCACCUCGAUGUCGGCUCAUCACAUCCUGGGGCUGAAGUAGGUCCCAAGGGUAUGGCUGUUCGCCAUUUAAAGUGGUACGCGAGCUGGGUUUAGAACGUCGUGAGACAGUUCGGUCCCUAUCUGCCGUGGGCGCUGGAGAAUUGAGGGGGGCUGCUCCUAGUACGAGAGGACCGGAGUGGACGCAUCACUGGUGUUCGGGUUGUCAUGCCAAUGGCACUGCCCGGUAGCUAAAUGCGGAAGAGAUAAGUGCUGAAAGCAUCUAAGCACGAAACUUGCCCCGAGAUGAGUUCUCCCUGAGACUUUAAGUCUCCUGAAGGAACGUUGAAGACGACGACGUUGAUAGGCCGGGUGUGUAAGCGCAGCGAUGCGUUGAGCUAACCGGUACUAAUGAACCGUGAGGCUUAACCUUACAACGCCGAAG
rnacentral:rRNA from 1 species